GCGAACUCGACAGUCAGAUGGGGCUGAAACCUCCCCUUUGCCUGUGCCUCUUCCCUGAGGCCACCCUCCCUCCAGGGCAGACCACUCCUGAUGGCAUCCUGGGCUUUCUCCGCAGUUCUGGCCAGUGAGCUGGCUGCACUCCAGCUCUAACUCCAUGCUGCCACCCAACUGGGUCAGGGUUAGUCGGAGCAGGGCACCUCUCUCAAUGGCUCCCACAGUCAGAGCCAAAUGCGGGAGCCAGCAGCAAGUACCCCACUGGGGGUGGGAGAGGGUAUGGAGGGCACGGAGCAGCCAGAGGAGCGAGGAACAGGCACUAACUGCAGGGCAGCGGUGCCUGCAUGGGCGUGGCCCUCUGCGGUCCCAGGUAAGGGAGGGCAAGGUGGAGAACACCCAGGAGAGAGCCAAGGAAUCUCCUGGAAUUUGGUUCCAAGAGGGGGCUGUGUCCAUCUUGGGGCUGCAACUCACUUUACAAGAACCACAGAAUGAGCCAUUGUGUUCCCCCUGGCUGCAGUAGUCACCCGGCUCAUCAUUUCUGGACUAAUACACACAAGGGGACACUUCUUAGUCAAGACCUUUGCACCAACCUAACACCAAACCAUCUGUUUUCUACUACAUCAGAUUACUACCAUUCCCACUCCACACCCACUUUUAUGGUAUGGACACCAAGCCGCACGGAGCUCUUUAGUAGCUCCAUAAUCAUGGAACGUCACUAACUUCCUGCUUAAGGCCGGAAACCCCAAAGACAGUCUCCUAGUCCAAUCUCAUCUGAAUGCGAAAGCAGAAAAUGUGGCCUUCCUUGGAGAGGAAGACGUGAUAAAUCCCCAGGGGGACCCUGUGGCUGGGCAGCAAAAGACAAAGGACCUUAGGCGCUAACCACCUCUCAUCAAGCCAUGUUUAGAGCCCGUGCUUCCUCUCUACCACGUCUGACGUCCUUGCACAUUCAGAAAAAAAAAACCCGUAUUCUGGGGCGCCUGGGUGGCUCA